rnacentral:rRNA from 1 species
UACGUAGGGUGCAAGCGUUGUCCGGAUUUAUUGGGCGUAAAGAGCGUGUAGGCGGCUUGGUAGGUCCGCUGUGAAAACUCGAGGCUCAACCUCGAGAUGUCGGCGGAAACCACUUGGCUAGAGUCCGGAAGAGGAGAGUGGAAUUCCCGGUGUAGCGGUGAAAUGCGCAGAUAUCGGGAAGAACACCUAUGGCGAAGGCAGCUCCCUGGGACGGUACUGACGCUGAGACGCGAAAGCGUGGGGAGCAAACAGG